rfam:Bursaphelenchus xylophilus, Ka4C1 (inbred line), WGS project CADV01000000 data, contig: scaffold00466.53
CUAACGGCCCUCUUUAGGGCCACAUUUCUUUGAUCUGCGAAUAAAG